AUGUGGAAGUUAUAUCCGCUGUUUUGUUGUAUUAAUUUGUUUUGUUCAUCUUGUGUAUUGACCUUUGCAAGUUUCAGGUAUGCCCAACCUGUCAUAUCUCUAUGUUGCGGAUUUUAUCAAGGUCUUACAAGAAAAACAUGCAUCCAACACCUACGCAAAAAUGACCUCAAUAUUUAUGUCACAACAGCAUCUAAUGCAGAAGAAAGCACCUGGGGUACAUACUGCCCAGGAAUGGAGCCAUCGCCUCCUUCUGAGUAUAUUACCUGCUUAGGUGAUCUCUACAGUAUUUCCUGGAUGGAAGACAGCAGCCGUAUGUGCACUGCUUGUGCUGGGCGCCGAUCUGGAGGCCCCUGA
rnacentral:rRNA from 1 species